GAUGAAGAACGCAGUGAAAUGCGAUAAGUAAUGUGAAUUGCAGAAUCCAGUGAAUCAUCGAAUCUUUGAACGCACAUUGCGCCCGCCAGCAUUCUGGCGGGCAUGCCUGUUCGAGCGUCAUUUCAACCCUCGACCUCCCUUUGGGGAAGUCGGCGUUGGGGACCGGCAGCACACCGCCGGCCCUGAAAUGGAGUGGCGGCCCGUCCGCGGCGACCUCUGCGUAGUAAACCAACUCGCACCGGAACCCCGACGUGGCCACGCCGUAAAACACCCAACUUCUGAACGUUGACCUCGAAUCAGGUAGGACUACCCGCUGAACUUUAGCAUAUCAAUAAGCGGAGGA
rnacentral:misc_RNA from 1 species